rnacentral:rRNA from 1 species
UACGUAGGGGGCAAGCGUUGUCCGGAAUCAUUGGGCGUAAAGCGCGCGUAGGCGGCCCGGUAAGUCCGUUGUGAAAGUCAAAGGCUCAACCUUUGAAUGCCGAUGGAUACUGCCGGGCUCGAGUCCGGAAGAGGCGAGUGGAAUUCCUGGUGUAGCGGUGGAAUGCGCAGAUAUCAGGAGGAACACCAAUAGCGAAGGCAGCUCGCUGGGACGGUACUGACGCUAAGGCGCGAAAGCGUGGGGAGCGAACAGG